rnacentral:rRNA from 1 species
UGGGGAAUAUUGGGCAAUGGGGGCAACCCUGACCCAGCGACGCCGCGUGAGGGAAGAAGGCCUUAGGGUCGUAAACCUCUGUUGUGUGGGAAGAAGGAAGUGACGGUACCACACGAGGAAGUCCCGGCUAACUACGUGCCAGCAGCCGCGGUAAUACGUAGGGGACGAGCGUUGUCCGGAAUUACUGGGCGUAAAGGGCGCGUAGGCGGUCAUUUAAGUCAGCUGUGAAAUGGUCCGGCUCAACCGGAUCAUGCGGUUGAAACUGGAUGACUGGAGUGCUGGAGAGGCAAGUGGAAUUCCCAGUGUAGCGGUGAAAUGCGUAGAUAUUGGGAAGAACACCGGUGGCGAAGGCGACUUGCUGGCCAGCAACUGACGCUGAGGCGCGAAAGCCAGGGGAG